UGGGGAAUAUUGCACAAUGGGCGCAAGCCUGAUGCAGCCAUGCCGCGUGUGUGAAGAAGGCCUUCGGGUUGUAAAGCACUUUCAGCGGGGAGGAAGGCGGUGAGGUUAAUAACCUCAUCGAUUGACGUUACCCGCAGAAGAAGCACCGGCCAACUCCGUGCCAGCAGCCGCGGUAAUACGGAGGGUGCAAGCGUUAAUCGGAAUUACUGGGCGUAAAGCGCACGCAGGCGGUCUGUCAAGUCGGAUGUGAAAUCCCCGGGCUCAACCUGGGAACUGCAUUCGAAACUGGCAGGCUAGAGUCUUGUAGAGGGGGGUAGAAUUCCAGGUGUAGCGGUGAAAUGCGUAGAGAUCUGGAGGAAUACCGGUGGCGAAGGCGGCCCCCUGGACAAAGACUGACGCUCAGGUGCGAAAGCGUGGGGAGCAAACAGG
rnacentral:rRNA from 1 species